GACGAACGCUGGCGGCGUGCUUAACACAUGCAAGUCGAACGGAAAGGCCCUGCUUUUGUGGGGUGCUCGAGUGGCGAACGGGUGAGUAACACGUGAGUAACCUGCCCUUGACUUUGGGAUAACUUCAGGAAGCUGGGGCUAAUACCGGAUAGGAGCUCCUGCUGCAUGGUGGGGGUUGGAAAGUUUCGGCGGUUGGGGAUGGACUCGCGGCUUAUCAGCUUGUUGGUGGGGUAGUGGCUUACCAAGGCUUUGACGGGUAGCCGGCCUGAGAGGGUGACCGGCCACAUUGGGACUGAGAUGCGGCCAGGACGCCUACGGGAGGCAGCAGUGGGGAAUAUUGCACAAUGGGCGGAAGCCUGCUGCAGCAACGCCGCGUGCGGGAUGACGGCCUUCGGGUUGUAAACCGCUUUCGCCUGUGACGAAGCGUGAGGGACGGUAAUGAGUAAAGAAGCACCGGCAAACUACGU
rnacentral:rRNA from 1 species